rnacentral:misc_RNA from 1 species
CUUUAUUAAUUUCUUAUAUAUAAUUUAUAUUAAAUAUAAAAAUAUAUUUUUUAAAUAAAAUAGACGAUAAGACCCUAUUAAAUUUUACUUAUAGUUUAACUGGGGAAGUUUUAAAAAUAAAAUUUUUUAUAAAAAUAAAAAUAAAUCUAAUAAAAUUAAAAUUAAAUUAAAUUACUAUAGGGAUAACAGCAUUAUAUUUUUUAAAAGUUCAUAUUAAAAAAAAUGAUUGUGACCUCGAUGUUGAAUUAUAUUUUCUUUAUUAAUGCAAUAAUUAUAAAAGUAGAUCUGUUCGAUCUUUAAAAUAUUACAUGAUUUGAGUUCAAACCGGUGUAAACCAGGUUGGUUUCUAUCUUUUUAUAAAUUCAUAUAUAUAUAUAUAUAUAUAUAUAUACAUAAAUUUUUCAAGUACGAAAGGAAAAAAAAAUUUUUAUUUUAAUUAAUUAGCAAUUAAUAUGCAUUAGAUUUAGAAUCUAAAUAAACUAUU